AGGAAUAAAUACACCUCAUGUCCCCCUGCUGCCAGUGCAGUGAUGAGAUGCAGGGCUGAGGGGCUGAGGAAGACGCUUCUGUGUCAAGGUAGAUUCUGCUGGUGGUCUAGUAUUGCCCAAACGGCUUCAGUAGGGAUAGGAAAGGCCCCCUGCUUGUUAACAAAGAAGAGGUGAAGGGCAGAGAACCUGGAUCCAUCUGAGAUCCGUGGGCUUUUUACUUUUUCAGCCAUUUGAGGGUUGACUGGCUCUAAGGAAAAGCUGUUUGCUGGCAGACACAGGUGGCUGGUGACAAAGGGAGCAGAGCAGGGGAAUGGAUAGCUCAAAACGAGCCUCACCACUCCUGAACAGAACAGUAAUCCCAGCUGUGUCCUUCGAGGGCAAAACUGGCUUACAGAAGAAAAAAGCAGGAACACCUGCAUUGGGCCCUGGCCCUUGGAGGUGCUCUGGGGGCUCGUGCCAAUGUCGUGAGGUACAUGUGGCUGCGGCCCCUUUUGGGCAUGUGGCCUGGGUUUGCUGACGGUCAGGAGGGUAAGGUCCUACCUUGAUCCCAGUGUGGCUCGCUCUGAGAAACCACAGCUCCCUCCUCUGGAGUCCCCUCUCCGAGCUCUCCAAGGGAAAAGACAAAGGAAGCCGAACUGCCAAGUUGAAGAUUUUGCCUCAGGCAACUAAAUUUAUUAGCAAGAAAAAAUUUUUGUCAGCCCAGCGCUGACCAACAAAGUACGUUAAUAAAGGAUAACAAAUCUGUCACUUAAUUCAUAAAACAUACCUCAAGCAGUUACAACUAAAAA